rnacentral:rRNA from 1 species
GUUAGAAUCUCCAAGGCCCCUUUGUUUGUCUUGGCGAAAUGUAAUCUAUGGAUUGCGGAUUUUAUGGUCAGUGGUUCUUUUAAUGUGAUCAAAACUAGUUGAAUCUAGUACCAAUGAGGGUGAAAGUCCCGUUCAUGGUCAUGUUGAGGAUUGCUAUUGUACCCCGUUUUCCUCGAGUCGGGUUGUUUGGGAAUGCAGCCCUAAAUGGGAGGUAAAUUUCUCCUAAAGCUAAAUAUUUGCAAGAGACCGAUAGAAUACAAGUACCGUGAGGGAAAGGUGAAAAGUACUCUGAAGAGAGAGUGAAAAGUACGUGAAACUGUUGGUAGGGAAGCGUUUGCACAGCACACUUGUCUGCAUAUAGUUUCGGCUAUGUGUAUUGGCAGCCUUGCACCAAUUUCUUCUGCUUGAAAAAGCCUACUGGAAGGUAGGGAGUCUUCAGAUCAGUUUGCUCUCGGGCAGGCUGGACCGGCUUCUGUUUAUAGACGGUAGGUAAUAAAGUGGGUGGAGAUUGAGGAAUGCUAAGCAGCGGAUCCUUAACGGGGUCUGCGGUCCCUCCUUGUUCCCCAUGCCUGGACCUUUGAUUCGACAUUUCUAUGACAGUUGAAGGGAUAACAUCAGGUUGGAUUUUGAAUGAGGGUCGUAGGAACAAAUGCUUAACGGGAUGUAGGGAAGUGCUGAACAAUCGACCCGUCUUGAAACACGGACCAAGGAGUCUAACACUAGUGCGAGUUGUUGGGAUUUUAUUAAACCCAUGGGCGUAAUGAAAGUGAGGAGUGUUUCAUAGCACUUGCUGGUACCAAUCUUUAGUGUCUUCGGAUGCGAGAUGCAGUACCCUCCAACCAGAAAGAGUUUACUUUGACUGGGUUGAGAGUGAGCACUUGUGUUAGGACCCGAAAGAUGGUGAACUAUACUUGAAUAGGGUGAAGCCAGGGGAAACCCUGGUGGAGGCUCGUAGCGAUUCUGACGUGCAAAUCGAUCGUAGAAUUUGAGUAUAGGGGCGAAAGACUAAUCGAACUAUCUAGUAGCUGGUUCCUGCUGAAGUUUCCCUCAGGAUAGCUGGUGCUCGUUAUGAACAGUUCUAUGGGGUAAAGCGAAUGAUUGGAGACCUUGGGGCUGAAACAGCCUCAAUCUACUCUCAAACUUUAAAUCUGUAGGAUGUCUGGGUUACUUGAAUUAUGAACCCAGACCUUAUGAAUGAGUAGCACCAAGUGGGCCAUUUUUGGUAAGCAGAACUGGCGCUGCGGGAUGAACCGAACGGAGAGUUAAAGUGCCCUAAUAUACGCUCAUUUAGACACCACAAAAGGUGUUGGUUCAUAUAGACAGCAGGACGGUGGCCAUGGAAGUCGGAAUCCGCUAAGGAGUGUGUAACAACUCACCUGCCGAAUGAACCAGCCCUGAAAAUGGAUGGCGCUUAAGCGUAUUACUUAUACUCUUCCCUUAACGACCAUGGGUAUUGUUUUUGACGGUAACUUGUGGAGGAUUCGUUAAGGAGUAAGCAGGCGUGGAGGUUCAAGAGAGAGGGAAUUAAAAACGCCCUCUUUUGUAAGCGUAGAAGCUAUGGAAGUGAUUCCUAGUGGAGCAACC